rnacentral:ncRNA from 1 species
UCAGGAUGGCCUAGAAAUCUCGGAAAUGCAGGGCUCAACCAUGUACAAGGCCGUCGGAUCGCGCGGCUCCCGGGUCAGCCGGGUGCUCUGG